UGAGGAAUAUUGGUCAAUGGACGAAAGUCUGAACCAGCCAUGCCGCGUGCAGGAUGAAUGCCCUAUGGGUUGUAAACUGCUUUUAUAUAGGAAUAAACCCCUUUACGUGUAAAGGGCUGAAGGUACUAUAAGAAUAAGGACCGGCUAACUCCGUGCCAGCAGCCGCGGUAAUACGGAGGGUCCAAGCGUUAUCCGGAUUUAUUGGGUUUAAAGGGUCCGCAGGCGGAAAAAUAAGUCAGUGGUGAAAUCCUAUCGCUUAACGAUAGAACUGCCAUUGAUACUGUUUUUCUUGAGUAUACUUGAAGUGGGCGGAAUGUGUCAUGUAGCGGUGAAAUGCAUAGAUAUGACACAGAACACCGAUUGCGAAGGCAGCUCACUAAAUUAUAACUGACGCUCAUGGACGAAAGCGUGGGGAGCAAACAGG
rnacentral:rRNA from 1 species